CCUACGGGAGGCAGCAGUGGGGAAUAUUGGACAAUGGGCGAAAGCCUGAUCCAGCCAUGCCGCGUGUGUGAAGAAGGCCUUCGGGUUGUAAAGCACUUUCAGUGGGGAAGAAAGCCUUGGGGCUAAUACCCUCGACGAAGGACAUCACCCACAGAAGAAGCACCGGCUAACUCCGUGCCAGCAGCCGCGGUAAUACGGAGGGUGCGAGCGUUAAUCGGAAUUACUGGGCGUAAAGCGCGCGUAGGCGGUCUGAUAAGCCGGUUGUGAAAGCCCCGGGCUCAACCUGGGAACGGCAUCCGGAACUGUCAGGAUAGAGUGCAGGAGAGGAAGGUAGAAUUCCCGGUGUAGCGGUGAAAUGCGUAGAGAUCGGGAGGAAUACCAGUGGCGAAGGCGGCCUUCUGGACUGACACUGACGCUGAGGUGCGAAAGCGUGGGUAGCAAACAGGAUUAGAUACCCGAGUAGUC
rnacentral:rRNA from 1 species